AAACUUAUCAAGCUUCUUGUUUAGGCCUUCUAAAGAAUCAGCCACAAAGAAAUUCUUCAAUUCUUCUACAGCAGCAUGGGCCUUUCCUAUGUAAGCAACCAUAUCAUGAUUGUUUUGUUCAAGGGAAGUCACUCUUUGAGUUGCAUCAAAGAGACGUUGCACAUCGUUGGCAAAGAUAUCCUGAGCUUUUCUCCAAAAAGAGGAACACGUUUUGUAAGGUCUCAAAAUUUCUAAGACUUCUUGUUCAACAGAUUGCCAUAGGGCAGCACAUAGUUGAAAAUCAAGCUUCUGCCAUUGAGAUUUCUCUUCUUCGGAAACGGU
rnacentral:lncRNA from 1 species